UAAACAUGUUAAAUAUACUGCGUGUCGAAUAUCUGUUUUCAGAACAGUCCUGAUGGCAUCCGACGGGAGCGAUUGCGGACAGUCCGUAAAGAAAAAAUAUCCAACGAUGAAACAAAGUUAGAGUGUCUUAAAGAGCAGCAAUCGAAGGAAAACGUCAUUAAGAAAAAGCUUGAGGAAGCUAAUGAGCUUUCUACUCGCUUUCGAGCGCUUAAAGCAAAAGGGCAGCAAACCCCAAAAGACGAUGAAGUAGAACAAAACCGUAUCGACCAGAAAGAACUUUCAGAUGAGCUAAAAAAACAGUCCGAUGUCGUUGCUAAGAAAUUGGAUGACAAGAACAGAAUAGAGAAGCGUUUGGAUGAAGAGACAAAGAAGGACGAAGCCCUUUGUAUCUACCUUAGUACUUCCAUUGAUGACG